rnacentral:rRNA from 1 species
CCUACGGGGGGCUGCAGUGGGGAAUAUUGGACAAUGGGGGAAACCCUGAUCCAGCGACGCCGCGUGAGUGAAGAAGUAUUUCGGUACGUAAAGCUCUAUCAGCAGGAAAGAAAAUGACGGUACCUGACUAAGAAGCCACGGCUAACUACGUGCCAGCAGCCGCGGUAAUCCGUAGGGGGCAAGCGUUAUCCGGAUUUACUGGGUGUAAAGGGAGCGUAGACGGCAGCGCAGGUCUGGAGUGAAAUGCUGGGGCCCAACCCCGGAACUGCGCUGGAAACUGUGAAGCUGGAGUGCAGGAGAGGUAAGCGGAAUUCCUGGUGUAGCGGUGAAAUGCGUAGAUAUCAGGAGGAACACCGGCGGCGAAGGCGGCUUACUGGACUGUAACUGACGUUGAGGCUCGAAGGCGUGGGGAGCAAACAGGAUUAGAUACCCGAGUAGUC